GGCUUGUGAGGAGAAAGACAAUCAAUCAGUUUUUUCUCUAAUAACAGUCACCCAAAUGACUUCUUCUGUAGCAUUUGUUGAAUUUUUCUUGAAAACUGAACUGUCCUAACUUGCCUAUACGUUUUUUUUUAAGAUGUUAAAUUCCAGCUCCUCUUAAAUCAUCUUGACAUCUGUUCUUCAAAAAGUUUCACUGUCAGUGAAGUGUAUGAAUUCAUUUUUGUACCAUCUCAAAACUUCCAUUUUUAGCCAGGGUUCUGGAAACCUUAGUCAAGACUUGACUACAUAAUCAUCGACAGCUGAAGUCACCCGACAUUAGCAAUUUCAAUCUUGGUUUCCUAACUGCCCUCACGGAGAGAUUGUUCAACUUACAAAUUAAUAUGUGCAGCUGCAGAAUAUAUUAUCAGACCAGAGUGUCAGCUCACAGGUACACAAGACAGAGGUGCACAUACUGCAAAAUGAGCCUGAAUAGUUGUGACACCAGAUAGUAUUUUAGUCCACCUUGUUAUCUGGAAAGCACAGGUAUUGUUUCUUUAAAAAAAUAAAUGUUUUGGGUGACUUGAGCCAGACAUUCCCAUGAAAGGAAAUUUGAUUGUUAAGCUUCAGAGGAGUCCAUGGACAUAGUCUUUGGAGAACUCAGUUUCUCCUAAGUUCCUGAGAAGGGUACCUUAAGUGUUUGUUUUCUCUUUAGUUGGCCAGUGGGAGAAGACAAAGCUUUGGGACUUCUAGUGCUUCUCAUGCCCAAAUUGUUCAAGGAAUUCUUAUAUUUGUGAUGUUCUUCAAUUGUUGAUAGGAAAUGUUGCUGUUGGUUUUUGGUGUGCAAACAUAAAAGAGAGUUUUUAAUAUUAGAUCAAUUUUACACUGUGGUGUGGAAUUUCAAUUUAAUUUUCAUGGGGAUUAUAUAGCACAUGCAUUUGGUUGGACCCCUUCAAGAUUGCUUUGCUUUGGUAUUUCACAAGUUUGUUCUGGUCUCUUUCCUGCUGAAAUAGCCACCAUGCAGAUAAGUAUCAUUUUCCUGGAAUCAGCUGCUGUCUUGGUUUUUAUUAUUUGCCAAGGACAACGAGUCAUUCACUCCUGAAUUCUUAAUCUAAUUCUUCUUGGAUAGUUCUGCGUUCACUACAGUGUUACAAGAGGAUAAAUAUGGAGGUGAAAAGAUGCAACAAAUCAUCCUAGCUCUUUCCAGCUACUGGAAAGUUUAGCAUCAUGGAGUCCUAACCUUAGAGGACAUAUAUCAGACAGCCACCACAACACAGACCCAAAAGAUAUCUGGUAGGCCCCUGAACCAUUUCCAGAGGCAUCAGACCAUUGCUACUUCCUUCUGUUCUCAUCUUGUUUACAGUCCUUGUACCUCUUGUCCUAGCCUGACCUGCCUGCUUUCUCCCACACUGGGGGACAGAUACAAGCUUCUGAAAAGUGCAGGUUACUCAGUUAGGAAAAUGUGUCAGUUUACUCCCAACUUGAGUUGUUAAUUUUCCCCAAUAAAAACCCAAACAAGAUAUGCUUCUGAACCUUCUGAAAUAUUUUUGUUUAACAUGAAUAGCCAUUAAAAGGUAAUCUAGUACAUUUUCAAAUGUUUGAUUGCAUCAGGCUAAUACCUACAAUAUAAAAUUAAAGCACUGUGUUAUUUAUAAAAAGAUUUAGUUCUCAAUAGUAAAAUAUUUAAGCACAAAUCAAAAUAUUUCUUUGAGAACUAAUCUUUUGCAUCCAUUUUAAAAAGUGUUUAUUGCAAUCAUUUAAAAUGGAAUAGGUUAAUGUAUUCACUUUUCACGCCAGAGACUUGGCUUUGAAUUUGACUUAGAGAAAAAUUAGCUUUGAGGCCUCAACCUCCUCUCCACAGGCAUUUGUUGAUAUCACAAAUUGAACCCAACAAGUUGUCACAAUUGUUGCCAUUUACUCAGGAGAUCCAAAAACUAGAAUAACCUUAUUUUCUCAUUGUUUUUUCCUUUCCUUGAGGCCAUACUUUUUUAUUGUAGACUCUUAGCAACCCCAAACUUGGGGCUCACCCACAUUGUCUUCACAGUCCAGGAAAACUCAGGAACCAUUCUUGGCAAAGCUAAUGGAAGGUGCUUUGGUGAUAUAGUUAGUAGGUUUCCAUGGCAACCCAUGUGACUCACAGUGUGACUCAGGGCAGUUAUAAUUUCAGUUGCUGGCAGGGUGUUCCAUUAGGACAGAUGUGAGAAGAAGCCACGCCGAAGUCCUUUUGGUAGGCCUUCAUCCAGAUCCUGUCUGCCCAUUGACAAAUAGGAAAAGGGAUAACCUAGUACUCACAAAGUAACUGGAAGAUUCAUCGCUUAGCUUACCAAGGCUACCAGCUAUCUCAGACAGUGCCAUGGGCUCAGACAGCAAGAGGGCAGGAUGGGAAAGUGCCACUGAGCUAGUCAAACAGAGAAACAAUGGAGAGGAAGAGAGCAAGCGGCAGCAUCGAGCAUUUUGAUUUUUCUAAAAAUGGACCUAUUUGUAUAGCGAGAACUAAUUAAAACUUAUGGCCAUGUGGUUUGUGUUAAAUGUUAAGUGUUUCAAAAUGGUUAAAUGUGUUCUGUGCACUUGAUGGAAAUGGGAUUCUCUACCAACUAAUUGAGGGAAGGGGGAAAACAUGGAAGGGAUUAGUUUUCUAGAAGGAAAAUGAAAAUGAAAAAAAUAUGAUGCCAAUUUACUUUUCUUCCGCAUAGGGGAUUUGAGAAGAUUUAUCUUAGCUUUUCUGGAAGGACACAUAUGCAAAUCAUAGAACCAUGGAAUUUCAAGAUUAGAAAUCCUUUGCAGUGGCCAGUCUAAACUCCUAUCUAUUCUCGGGAUCUACCACCCUGCAUCCGGCUUAUGCGCAAAACCUGUCACAGAGAAUAUUCACUUCUUCAUUUCUUUUCAAGGCAGCCCAUUCUAUUUUUGAGCCAAUCUGGCUUUUAGAAAGUUCUUCUGUCUACUAAGUAGGCAAUCUGUCUUUUUACAGUCUCUACCCAUUGGCCCUAUUCAUGCCUUUCUUAUGCUUUUAAUUAUCUUUAAUAAUUUCACAGUUGGAAAAACGAGCUAAGUUGGGUUAAGUAACUUGUGCGUUAUUUCAUAGCUACUAAAUAGCAGGGCGAGGAUUUAAAUCAAGGUCUGCUAGAACUGCACGUCUCUUGUUCUUUCCAUAUGUCACCCAACCUUUCACUCUAGAGGGAAAAAAAAAGGGGGCAGUCUGCUACCUAGCACAGAGGACACCUAACAGGAAGUGAAGGAGAGGUUGAGAUCAGAGGCGGGAAGGGAGAAUUGGUGAGUGGAGUGAUGGAACAAGGUAAAAGGACACCCCUCUCUGAUCAGGGCUACACUUUCGUAAGCCAGGCCGCUGUGGUUAUCUCAGUGUAACUCACAUCCAGCUAUUGACAGCUUUCCACCUGGUGACAUGCUUAACGGCCCAUGAAAUUCUAGCCCUCAGGGCUCAAACCUGAUAUUUAUGGUUCCCCACAUAAACCUAAAGUGGAUUGUAAAUUUAUCUCUCUCAGAUUUAGGUGGCUAAAGUGGCUGUUCAAAACUCUGCAAGGGAGAGUCGACUUUAUGGACAUGUUGUACUAACUUUUAAAAAGAUUGGGGCUGAAGGAGGGUGCAGAAAGCUGUGUGGUUUGUGGGAAUGCUCCCAGAAGCCCCCUGGAGCGGAAGCCUUUUUGGUAUUGAUGUUAUGGGGGAAGGGCAGUUGGGUAAAGGGAUGUAGAUUGAUUUUGUACCGUAGAAUAGUGGCAUGUUUUGUGUAAUCAAAAAUCUGUUAUAAUGAAAAAACCAUGAAGGUUUGCAAAGGAGCAAUCAAGGGAAGCUGUUCAGCUUCCGCAGGAAACUUUUUCUAAGCUUCAGAGUAUGCCAAGUGGAUAUUGACACAGCUAAGCAUGUAUGUAGCAGGACAUAUGUAAAUAGGAAUACUCUAUGUUGAAAUCUGGACAAACCUUACUGAGACCUUCUCCAGAGGCAAGCAAUGUGUGGUAUUUAUAUGAGAUUUGACACAUCUGGAAACAGCGGCUUUUGCACCAUAAAUUUCACCGGCAAGUUCUGACAUGUACGUUUAAGAGAAAACCUCUUAAUAUGUUUUCCAUGAAAGGAUGGGGACAUAGUAACAACCACCAAAGUGAUAAUAUUUCCUCUGCCUCGUAUCCGCUCCCUAAUCAAAACCCUUCAGUAUUCUACUCCAAAAGUUUCUUUCUCUUUCCACCACUGACAAUAUGCAUUGUUAACGGAAGGGAGUGGUCAGGGGCUGUGUGCCAUAUUGGAAGGGACUCAGACAUUAGAGGCAAAAGGACCAGGGUUUGAAUCUUAGCUUUUCUAUGUAUUUAUUGUAUAACUUUGGGCUUGUUUCUUAAUCUCUAAACCUCAAUUUCCUAAUCCAUCAAAAGCGGAUGAAAAAUACCAACCAAAACAUGGUUAUGAGGAUAAAUGGCAUGAAGAAUUGAAAAGUAAAUAGAUUUAUAAAACAAAAAUAUUGUUUGCAAGGGGUUGGCAUAGUUCCUCCUUUAUUCUGGAAGUUAAUUUGCUUGAAAAUUCAACCAUGUACUAAAUCUUCCUCCCUAGGGACCAACAGAAAAUUGCAAACUCCUUCUGAUUGGAAACCUUCCUGAGGGCUCCGCAAAUUGGUGCUCUCUUCUCCUGGUUUCAUCCCACAGGAAGAGAUAGUCUCCCUAUAUGAAUGUUCACACCAUGAGAAACCUUUCUCACCCUCUCUCCGUGGAAUGUCUCUCCCCAGUUUUUGAGAUAUCCUCGACUCAAGGCCAAAGCAGUGGUUUGAAAGGUGUUUGGAAACCAAUGUGAACCAGCGUGCUUUCCCCUCCCCCACUCUGGGGGUGGGAUUUUCAGGCCAACUUUUCUGAAGCUGCUUGUGAGUUAACCUGAAGUUGGAAUGCCCUCCUGAGGUUGAGGCAUAAAAGCCAGCAGCGUAAAUAGAAACUGAAGCUGAAAUAACCAUAAAUGUUCUCGAACAACUUCAAUAGAGAAAGCCUUGUUUGAUCCUCUCUAAGCUUCCUGAAACCAAGCUGAAUAUUUGUUUGUUUUGUGGUAGCUCAACUUUUUUUUUUUUUUCUCAGGCCUUUUAGUGCAUGGCUGUUGGUUUCUCUGUGUAAAAGGAAAAUGCUUUUUCUCAGUAACGAUGUUCACAUUCUGAAGUUGGUGAUACCCACUUCUAAAGGCCAUUUUAUAGUAAAGAUAAAGUUCUGCCAAGUCUUAGGAUGAACAGAUAAAGGAUGUGGUCAGUUACCAUGACUCGUGCUUACCUCCCAAAGUGUGUCAUUUGGUGCACAUACCUCAAAACGUGUGAACAGAAAGUUUCUAGUUUAUUUUUAUACAUGGAGAUUUGAUUCCACGGCAGAGGGAGGGUGUCAAGGUAAAUGACUGUGCAAAAAUGACAGAACUGCAUUUUGAGCUUUCGGUUGCCAGAGAUACAAAGGCCAAGUUAAGCCAUGAACACAAGGGGAAAGUGCCAGGUGUCAGGAGCAAGAAUCUUAUAUGCCGGGGAUUGUUUUUUUUUCCUGGAAGCAACUGGAAACCAACUUAGUGACACUUAAGUCCUUCACCUGCUACAUGACUGCAGCCAGUGUAUGUGAGUCAGAGUGGUACCAAGAAGGGCCCUCAUCUGAACAGCCGCAAAAGUGACGGGCUCUGGCUUGGAAUGGGAAUAUUAUACUAUGUUCAGAGUCAUGGCAACUUGAACUUGGCAGCCUUAUCGGCUUCUGAGAUUAUGAGUGCCCCACAGCCAAGUGCACCUGUGAGGAGAGUUGACUGUGGAGUGGCAUAUAGGUUGAGAAACCUCUUUCGUAGCUGACAAUCUAUGUAAACUCCUUUAAUAUGUGGAUGAUUAAGUAGCAGUUUAAGUGUUGGAAUUACCUGGCCCUGCUUUACCAUCUUCUAUAUAUUCAAUAUAAGACACACUGGGAAU